rnacentral:rRNA from 1 species
AUUGUGCCAGCGGCCGCGGUAAUACGAAGGGUGCAAGCGUUACUCGGAAUUACUGGGCGUAAAGCGUGCGUAGGCGGUUCGUUAAGUCUGUCGUGAAAGCCCUGGGCUCAACCUGGGAAUUGCGAUGGAUACUGGCGAGCUAGAGUACGGUAGAGGAUGGUGGAAUUCCCGGUGUAGCGGUGAAAUGCGUAGAGAUCGGGAGGAACACCCGUGGCGAAGGCGGCCAUCUGGACCAGUACUGACGCUGAGGCACGAAAGCGUGGGGAGCAAACAGGAUUAGAUACCCUGGUAGUCCACGCCCUAAACGAUGCGAACUGGAUGUUGGGCACACUUAGGUGCUCAGUGUCGAAGCUAACGCGUUAAGUUCGCCGCCUGGGGAGUACGGUCGCAAGACUGAAACUCAAAGGAAUUGACGGGGGCCCGCACAAGCGGUGGAGUAUGUGGUUUAAUUCGAUGCAACGCGAAGAACCUUACCUGGCCUUGACAUGUCCGGAAUCCUGCAGAGAUGCGGGAGUGCCUUCGGGAAUCGGAACACAGGUGCUGCAUGGCUGUCGUCAGCUCGUGUCGUGAGAUGUUGGGUUAAGUCCCGCAACGAGCGCAACCCUUGUCCUUAGUUGCCAGCACGUAAUGGUGGGAACUCUAAGGAGACUGCCGGUGACAAACCGGAGGAAGGUGGGGAUGACGUCAAGUUAUCAUGGCCCUUACGGCCAGGGCUACACACGUACUACAAUGGUCGGUACAGAGGGUCGCAAUGCCGCGAGGCGGAGCCAAUCCCAGAAAGCCGAUCUCAGUCCGGAUCGGAGUCUGCAACUCGACUCCGUGAAGUCGGAAUCGCUAGUAAUCGCAGAUCAGCAUUGCUGCGGUGAAUACGUUCCCGGGCCUUGUACACACCGCCCGUCACACCAUGGGAGUUGGUUGCUCCAGAAGCAGGUAGUCUAACCGCAAGGAGGACGCUUGCCACGGAGUGGUCAAUGACUGGGGUGAAGUCGUAACAAGGUAACCAAU